UACAGAGGUCUCAAGCGUUGUUCGGAUUCAUUGGGCGUAAAGGGUGCGUAGGUGGCGUGGUAAGUCGGAUGUGAAAUCCCGGGGCUCAACCCCGGAACUGCAUUCGAUACUGCCUUGCUAGAGUACUGGAGAGGAGAUUGGAAUUUACGGUGUAGCAGUGAAAUGCGUAGAUAUCGUAAGGAAGACCAGUGGCGAAGGCGGAUCUCUGGACAGUUCUGACACUGAGGCACGAAGGCCAGGGGAGCAAACGGG
rnacentral:rRNA from 1 species